rnacentral:lncRNA from 1 species
UUUGAUGGGCAGUAGGGAGCCAUGGAAGGUGUGAGAGUGAGGGAGGACUAGGGGGUAUUUGUGCCUUAGAUCAUUAUGGCAGUGCGCCAGAUGAAAGGAUUGAGGGGGUUGAUUCUGGAACUGAAGGCACCAGAAGCCUGCAGGGUUAUUCCUGCCACACGUCCUAUCACUCCAGCAAAGCAUUAGCAAAAGCCAGCCAUCCAUCUGCUGACUCCACAGAAACAGACUUUUCUUAAAUAAAUGUGAAGAUUUUCAACUCUCAAAGAGGAGGGCCAUACUGGGCCCACGCCGGGAUGCCAAGGGUUUGAGCCAGCCUACUCUAACACCUUAAAGAUGGUGGUGGAAAGCAGCCCGAGAUGGAAGGUGCGCAGGGGCUGGGGCUGGCAUCAGCAAUUGCCAGAAGUCAUUGUCCUCUUCUCACAAGGGCUGGGGCUGACCU